AUUGAACGCUGGCGGCAGGCCUAACACAUGCGAGUCGAACGGUAACAGGAAGACGCUUGCUUCUUUGCUGACGAGUGGCGGACGGGUGAGUAAUGUCUGGGAAACUGCCUGAUGGAGGGGGAUAACUACUGGAAACGGUAGCUAAUACCGCAUAACGUCGCAAGACCAAAGAGGGGGACCUUCGGGCCUCUUGCCAGCGGAUGUGCCCAGUUGGGCUUAGCUAGUAGGUGGGGUAACGGCUCACCUAGGAGACGAUCCCUAGCUGGUCUGAGAGGAUGACCAGCCACACUGGAACUGAGACACGGUCCAGACUCCUACGGGAGGCAGCAGUGGGGAAUAGUGCACAAUGGGCGGAAGCCUUAUGCAGCCAUGCCGCGUGUAUGAAGAAGGCCUUCGGGUUGUAAAGUACUUUCAGCGGGGAGGAAGGGAGUAAAGUUAAUACCUAGGCUAAUUGACGUUACCCGCAGAAGAAGCACCGGCUAACUACGUG
rnacentral:rRNA from 1 species